UGACGACCCAAACAUCCCAUCCUAAUGACGACCCAAACUUUACUGAUGGUCUAAAUGAAGUUAUAUUGAUCCUUGAUAACUCCAACAGAUCACAGCGUUGGGACUUGACAUCAUCAGCGGGCGACGUUGCGUAAACAGGAAGCUACAAAUGGCACAGAUGGACAAACAGCUUCUGCUCGUUCAGAUCAACCAGAAACUGAAGGAUCAUUUGAGGAGAGAACAUCACAGUGAAAUGGUGUAAACAACCAGAUGGAGUCGUGUUUCACAAGCUGAAAGAAUGAAAUAAUACUCAGUAGUAAAUAAAGUCUGAGCUCUAAAUCUGAAUUUGUAAGUUAUCUUUAGAUAACUGCUCAUUUUGGACGAACUGUUAAGCUGUUAUAUUUACUAUAUUAGCAUCAUUUGUUAAAUCUCUUUCUAUAAGUCUUCAGAAAAUAUCUUGUGAGCAGAUGUAGGCAGUUUUUUUUAUAUUAUUUUAUCAUUUUAUUUGUAUAUUUUG